rnacentral:rRNA from 1 species
AACGAACGCUGGCGGCAUGCCUAACACAUGCAAGUCGAACGAGACCUUCGGGUCUAGUGGCGCACGGGUGCGUAACGCGUGGGAACCUGCCCUUAGGUUCGGAAUAACUCCCCGAAAGGGGUGCUAAUACCGGAUAAUGUCUUCGGACCAAAGAUUUAUCGCCUUUGGAUGGGCCCGCGUUGGAUUAGCUAGUUGGUAGGGUAAAAGCCUACCAAGGCGACGAUCCAUAGCUGGUCUGAGAGGAUGAUCAGCCACACUGGGACUGAGACACGGCCCAGAAUUCCUCGGGAAGGAGGCAGGGGGGAAUAUGGAACAAGGGGCGAAGGCUUAACCCGCCAAGGCGGGGGAAUUGAGGAAGGCUUAAGGGUGGAAAAGCUCUUUAACCCGGGAUGAUAAGACAGGAACCGGAAAAUAAAGCCCGGCUAAACCCGUG